AUGUGAGAGGAGCAGCCCAGCCCGUCUAGCAGCCAGCCAUACAGAGAAGCAGAAACUCAGUUUAAAGGCUAACUGUGGCAAACAUAACUCGUUUUCCGCAAUAAGCAUGCCCGUUGGUGUGCAUGCAUCCGUGACACAUAGGAUCGGAUGGUGUGUACGCGCCCACAAACAGGACGCAGCUUGCGAUGCGGCUUCUUGCAGUCUUGGCGAUGGUUUCCAAAAGGCCCGAGGGCUGGGAAAGAAUGUAUGAGACUCAAACUUGGCCGACCAUCCUAGGUAGGAACCCUCAUGCAGGUGCGAUCAUUUGUUGACUUUCCAACCAGGGCUAUAGAGAACAGGUCUGUUUGUGUACUCUUUUCAUCGGCUUUUGUCUGAGGUGGCGCUUUGUUGUACCUAAGAAUGUGAAAGGACUACGGAAAAACAAAGACUGCAUAGGUGUUGGAACGUACAAGAAGACUAAUGUUGUGUUGAUUGAGUGCUUACACGAAGUCAUUUAAAUCCUUUCUGCUCAUUUUUCAGCGUUAGGUGGACUACUGCACAUGCCUCUCACAGCCAACACCUUUGACCUGCAGAUUUAUUUUGUUCUGGUGUUACAUUAGUACAAACUGACUUUUCACCCCCAGGAACUCACCUGGCAAAUGUAAAGUACUCAGUCUUAACACCUGUGUCUAACAAAGCUUAAAUAUGUACCUUUCUGUCAUAUUGUGUAUUUACAACU